rnacentral:rRNA from 1 species
GGUGGUUCGAUACGUCGGAUGUGAAAAUCAGGGGCUCAACCCCUGACCUGCAUCCGAUACGGUCGAGCUAGAGUUUGGUAGGGGAGACUGGAAUUCCUGGUGUAGCGGUGGAAUGCGCAGAUAUCAGGAGGAACACCGAUGGCGAAGGCAGGUCUCUGGGCCAAUACUGACACUGAGGAGCGAAAGCGUGGGGAGCGAACAGGAUUAGAUACCCUGGUAGUCCACGCCGUAAACGGUGGGCGCUAGUUGUGCGAACCUUCCACGGUUUGUGCGACGCAGCUAACGCAUUAAGCGCCCCGCCUGGGGAGUACGAUCGCAAGAUUAAAACUCAAAGGAAUUGACGGGGCCCCGCACAAGCAGCGGAGCAUGCGGCUUAAUUCGACGCAACGCGAAGAACCUUACCAAGGCUUGACAUAUACAGGAAUAUGGCAGAGAUGUCAUAGCCGCAAGGUCUGUAUACAGGUGGUGCAUGGUUGUCGUCAGCUCGUGUCGUGAGAUGUUGGGUUAAGUCCCGCAACGAGCGCAACCCUCGUUCUGUGUUGCCAGCAUUAAGUUGGGGACUCACAGGAGACUGCCGGGGUUAACUCGGAGGAAGGUGGGGAUGACGUCAAAUCAUCAUGCCCCUUAUGUCUUGGGCUGCACGCAUGCUACAAUGGCUGGUACAAACGGCUGCGAUACCGCAAGGUGGAGCGAAUCCGAUAAAGCCAGUCUCAGUUCGGAUUGGGGUCUGCAACUCGACCCCAUGAAGUCGGAGUUGCUAGUAAUCGUAGAUCAGCAACGCUACGGUGAAUACGUUCCCGGGGCUUGUACACACCGCCCGUCACAUCACGAAAGUCGGUAACACCCAAAGUCAGUGGCCCAACCGUAAGGAGGGAGCUGCCAAAGGUGGGAUCGGUGAUUGGGAUGAAGUCGUAACAAGGUA